GGGGGGGGGGGGGGGGGGGGGGGGGGGGGGGGGGGGGGGGGGGGCGGUCGGGGUGGGGGGCGGACGGGUGAGUAGCACGUGGGAACGUGCGCUUUGGGUCGGACCCACUCAGGGACACUUGAGCUAAUCCCGGCUGUGCCCUUCGGGGGAAGGAUUUAUCGCCCUUGGCGCGGCCAGCGUCUGAUUAGCUAGUUGGUGAGGUAACGGCCCACCAAGGCGACGAUCAGUAGCUGGUCUGAGAGGAUGAUCAGCCCAACUGGGACUGAGACACGGCCCAGACUCCGACGGGAGGCAGCAGUGGGGAAUCUUGCGCAAUGGGCGAAAGACUGACGCAGCCAUGCCGCGUGAAUGAGGAAGGUCUUAGGAUUGUAAAAUUCUUUCAGCGGGGACGAUAAUGACGGUACCCGAAGAAGAAGCUCCGGCUAACUUCGU
rnacentral:rRNA from 1 species